UGGAAACGGUUGCUAAUACCCCGUAGGCUGAGGAGCAAAAGGAGAAAUCCGCCCAAGGAGGGGCUCGCGUCUGAUUAGCUAGUUGGUGAGGCAAUAGCUUACCAAGGCGAUGAUCAGUAGCUGGUCCGAGAGGAUGAUCAGCCACACUGGGACUGAGACAGGGCCCAGACUCCUACGGGAGGCAGCAGUGGGGAAUUUUCCGCAAUGGGCGAAAGCCUGACGGAGCAAUGCCGCGUGGAGGUGGAAGGCCUACGGGUCGUCAACUUCUUUUCUCGGAGAAGAAACAAUGACGGUAUCUGAGGAAUAAGCAUC
rnacentral:ncRNA from 1 species